ACACACACACACACACACACACACACACACACACAUUUAUAAGAACGAAAGCGAUUUACACUCUCUUAAUAAAACAACGUCACCAAUACUGGUUCAGAACACAUAGCAUACACGUUUAAUACAUUAUAUACAUACACGGCGCGGAGUAUACAUGGUUCUUACACUCUUUCCUUAUACCUAACACACUCUGGGUAUAUACAGUGUUUUUAUUUUCGUUUUUUGUUAUUUUUCUCAUUUUUCAUUUCAUUUUCAUUCGUUUUUUUUCAUUAUUUUUUUCAUUUUUAUUCCUUAUUUUUUUUUUGUUUUUCCGAUUUUAUUUUCCUCCAUUUUUGUUUUUUAUUUCGUUUUUUUUCUCAUUUUUAUUAUUCAUUUUUUUCAUAUGCAUUAUUUUUUUCUUCAUUUUUCAUUUCCACACACACACACACACACACACACACACACACACACACACACACACACACACACACACACACACACACACACACACACACACACGUACUUAAUCUAAAUACAAUGACCGAUCGAAGCCUUUCAGAAGCGAACGUUAGCGAAACAAAACAACAACUUAUUAUUUCAUAUCUUAACGCUAUGCAACGACACGCCAAGCUUACCUUAUUCAAGAUCACUGUGAAGAUGUCUGACCGGCCGUAACUACAAGGCGAAUCAGAGUAGUUAUGAGUUCCCACAAAGGUCGGGUUAGGGGCCUUACUACAAGUCGAAUCAGAGUAGUUAUGAGUUCCCACAAAGGUCGGGUUAGGGGCCUUACUACAAGUCGAAUCAGAGUAGUUUUGAGUUCCCACAAAGGUCGGGUUAGGGGCCUUACUACAAGUCGAAUCAGAGUAGUUUUGAGUUCCUACAAAGGUCGGUUUAGGGGCCGUAUUACAAGCCCCAUCCGAGAAGUUUUGAGUCGCUGCAAAGGUCGGUUUAGGGGCCGUAUUACAAGCCCCAUCCGAGAAGUUUUGAGUCGCUGCAAAGGUCGGUUUAGGGGCCGUAUUACAAGCCCCAUCCGAGAAGUUUUGAGUCGCUGCAAAGGUCGGUUUAGGGGGCGUAUGACAAACCCAACCCAACCUACUAACAACAAACGUAUUCACACUUAUCUUCGUUUCCUUCUUUCCUUCACACUAAUU